CUUUUUUGUAAAUAAAAGUAUUUUAUGGCAUAAAAAUAAACAUGUUCCAACGUCAACAAAAAGAAAAAAAAAGUUCCCUUAACGUUUGAAGAAGGUCAGCUAGUUAAAGCAUUCUUAAAUUUAUUUGAUUUUUUUUUUUGCAACUUUACAUGUUCAUUGAUUGAAAUGACUUCAUUUGGCCUUUAAAGUUCUCACAUCUGACCCAUAAACUAAAAUAAAUUAUAGUUCAAACAACAAUUGACCUAAAGCUGAGCUGAUUAAAACCCUGAUGCUGGAAAGAGGACGUCUUUUGGCACCUGUUUGUCUUAAACUGCUGCCUCCUUCUUCCCAGCAGGUCGUUCUCUCCGUACCAAAGUUCAUAUACGACGCAAUUAAAUGCUACAAACAUGAAAUUAUUAAAGUUCAAUUGUUAGUUUUCCCUAAUGUAGAAAGUUAAACUGAAAUACAUCGGCACACUAAUCGAUUAAAAUCCAGGGACGAAAGGUUAAAAAAAAAAAAACACAACGUAACGACUAAAAGAAGCUUCUGUUUAGGAGGAAAAUGAACUAAAUUGAUAUUUAAAGGACAUGAAAAUCAGUCUGCAGCGUCCGUAAUGAGCCGGUAAAUCAGAUUUAUCCGUUUAAUUUUGAGGUUUCUUUUAGUCAGACAGCCAACAGAGGUGCUUUUCUAAGACUUUAACUAAUUUAACUGCAACAUCUGAUGUCUGUCUGAUCAUUUCUAAGCAAAAUUUGCAGGCGAAUUAUGUUUCUGACCUUUAAUCACGGCUCGUGCCGGCUGCUCGGUUAUGUUUUCACCUUCUCACCACUAUGAUGUUAAUGUGACAGUAAUGGCGGGGGAUAAUUGGAGGUUUUGGUUAAUGUCGUCUCCGUGGGUUACAAGGCACUGAUUUCUGUUGGUUAGAUAAUUAGGGGCUGUUGUUCCACUGCAGGAAUUCGCGGGUCAGUUUAGAGUGGCACCUUUUCUCAGGGCUGUUUUUAAAAAGGAAGAAUAAAGGACCUGCUUUUAUUCAGGCGACCCUGAAAAACUCUCAACUAGAGCUUGAUGCUGAUUGGUUGAACUCUGAGAAAAUUUACCAAAUAGGCUAACAUACUGCAACCAUCUUGGCUCUGAUUGGGUCAAACUGUGAUCUAAAUCACUGCAUUCACAGGUUUGGUUGUAUAUUUUGUCACUUAAACUCACAAAUCUUUGUCGGUUCUCUGAUUUUAUUCUACAAGAUUUGACUAAAAAUAGCGAUUCUCGUCUUUCGCGGUGGUCCUCGGUGUGAUCCAGCUGCAUCUCCAGCGAGUCUCUCAUCCGACUCCACCGUUCUGGACUUGCAACCGGUGAUAUUCUGCGAUCGAACCGGUUCUCCGCCAGCUGCAGUCCAGGAUAGAAGAGGAGGAAAGACUUGCUGUGGAGGCAGCUGGACGACAUCAAGGACUUCCACCUGAUCCUGAGACGAGACAGGCUGGUUAGCAGAUACAUAAAACGUUCCGUAUUUGUCGUUUUGUUGCCCUAAAAAUUGACAUCUCGGUCAUUUCACAAGUCUGAUCCAAGCUGUAAACAUUGGCGCCACCCUACACUCGGCCCUGAGUUCCUGCAGUGGACGGAGGAUGUUUUCUGGUGAACUUCUCCUGGGUGCCGCUGUUUCCUAACUCUUUCCUACUCAGCUCUUUUUCUGCAUCUUCACGUACGAUCACGUUACACUUUUGUCCAUCAGAUAUUUGCUCCGUUUCCUCUUAUCGGAGCCCAGAAAUGCGAAUAUUCAGUUGCGCAUUUUUUGCGCAUUAGGCCAAAGUCUGAUGAUUGGAAAUGAGGAUUAUUUACUGCAGCAUAAUUGUCACAGUACCAGACUGCAAAGUUCGGCAGUUUGUGAGCCAUCUGAUCAAUACUGAUUUAGUAAACUGUGCGAGGAAGCUUCAUUAAACGACGGUGUAACGUGAUCGGACCUUUACUGACACUUAAAGCACUUUUUUAGCUGCAUUUGUUUGGUUCUCAUCAACUUUGGUUGCUGGAAAUGAUCAACUAAACUUAUCAUGAAACUUUUGUUCUCAACUGCUUCACAUUGGCUGUUAAAUCACAGAAAAAUUAAGUUAGAUGAAUAUAUUAGUUUUUUGUUUUGUUUUUUUCCCCAAUUAUCCAUUUUGGGCUCAAACAUUCACUUGAUUACUCCAUCAAAGGCGUAAUUUAAAGAAACGAUUAGAAUAAUUUCUUCUAAAAUCUAAAGAUUUACUGUUUUUAGUUAACUUAAGCUUAAACUGUACUGUUUUUUGGAUAAUUUACGGGUAUUUAAAGGAAUCAUGUUGCUCUGGAAACUUGACUAAUUUGGGUAAACAACUGAUAACUGGGUUGUUAAAGACAGUUUUAACUUGCUGCCUGCUUUACUGCACGUUGAAAAGCAGCGUUUAAAGGAUAAUUCUAGCAUUUUUAUAAGGUUUCCAUCUUUUUUGAGUCAAAAUAAUAAUCAGGGAUUUUGCCGUCAGCUUGUUACAGCAUUCUCGCUCGUAUUUGCACCAAUUCCAAACAUUUUUUGUCACUUUUAAUCAUUUAAGCUGAAAAAGACGAUAAAAUUAAACUCCAGGUUUAAAAAACAAACAAAAAAUAAACAAUUAUCCUUAAAGACUGUCUCUUAAUUUGUAAUAAACAAGGAAAAACGUUAGGAUUUACUUUAAUAAUCAGUUAAUAACAAGUUUGUCGAGCAAAAUAAUUCCUUUAAAUGUCUUAUAACUGUAGAGACAGAUUUGUUACGGGCAAUUAAAUAAUGAGCACAUUUUUCGGUUUUAGAAGAAAUGAU